rnacentral:rRNA from 1 species
GACGAACGCUGGCGGCGUGCUUAACACAUGCAAGUCGAACGGACAGGCCCUGCUUUUGUUGUUUGCUCGAGUGGCGAACGGGUGAGUAACACGUGAGUAACCUGCCCUUGACUUUGGGAUAACUUCAGGAAACUGGGGCUAAUACCGGAUAUGAGCUCCUGCUGCAUGGUGGGGGUUGGAAAGUUUCGGCGGUUGGGGAUGGACUCGCGGCUUAUCAGCUUGUUGGUGGGGUAGUGGCUUACCAAGGCUUUGACGGGUAGCCGGCCUGAGAGGGUGACCGGCCACAUUGGGACUGAGAUACGGACCAGAAGCCUACGGGAGGCAGCAGUGGGGAACAUUGCACAAUGGGCGGAAGCCUGAUGCAGCGACGCCGCGUGCGGGAUGACGGCCUUCGGGGUGUAAACCGCUUUCGCCUGUGACGAAGCGUGAGUGACGGUAAUGGGUAAAGAAGCACCGGCUAACUACGUG